UUGAUCAUGGCUCAGAUUGAACGCUGGCGGCAUGCCUUACACAUGCAAGUCGAACGGUAACAGGCCGCAAGGUGCUGACGAGUGGCGAACGGGUGAGUAACGACAUCGGAACGUGCCUGAUAGUGGGGGAUAACUACUCGAAAGAGUAGCUAAUACCGCAUAAGAUCUCAGGAUGAAAGCAGGGGACCGCAAGGCCUUGCGCUAACAGAGCGGCCGAUGGCAGAUUAGGUAGUUGGUGGGAUAAAAGCUUACCAAGCCGACGAUCUGUAGCUGGUCUGAGAGGACGACCAGCCACACUGGGACUGAGACACGGCCCAGACUCCUACGGGAGGCAGCAGUGGGGAAUUUUGGACAAUGGGCGCAAGCCUGAUCCAGCAAUGCCGCGUGCAGGAUGAAGGCCUUCGGGUUGUAAACUGCUUUGUACGGAACGAAAAAGCUCUGGUUAAUACCUGGGGCCCAUGACGGUACCGUAAGAAUAAGCACCGGCUAACUACGUG
rnacentral:rRNA from 1 species